GAUCCCCACUCUCUCAAAAACCCUAACCUCACAAAAUUGAUCAAUUGAAGGCUAAUCCUUGUUCCAAAUCAAAAUCUGAAUAUAGAUUCGUGAUCCUCAUCACAAGGGGGUUACAAGAAAAGUAUGAUGUUUAAAUGUUAUAUGGGGACUUUAUUGAUGUUAAGAAAGGAGGCCCGGGCAUCUAGCGGGCAAACCGGUGUGGACGCACGUUUGAAAGGUCUACUUUGAAGGUGACGAUGGACCUAAUCCGGAUGGCGAUCAAGCAUCUUUUCAAGAACCGAACACUACAUUUUGAAG
rnacentral:lncRNA from 1 species